rnacentral:piRNA from 1 species
UAAAACUUUAUGUGUGUGCUUGAGUGUGU